rnacentral:rRNA from 1 species
UACGUAGGGGGCAAGCGUUGUCCGGAAUCAUUGGGCGUAAAGCGCACGUAGGCGGAUUGCUAAGUCAGGGGUGAAAUCCUGGAGCUCAACUCCAGAACUGCCUUUGAUACUGGCGACCUUGAGUCCGGGAGAGGUGAGUGGAACUGCGAGUGUAGAGGUGAAAUUCGUAGAUAUUCGCAAGAACACCAGUGGCGAAGGCGGCUCACUGGCCCGGUACUGACGCUGAGGUGCGAAAGCGUGGGGAGCAAACAGG